rnacentral:rRNA from 1 species
UACAGAGGUCUCAAGCGUUGUUCGGAUUCAUUGGGCGUAAAGGGUGCGUAGGUGGCGAGGCAAGUCCGGGGUGAAAGCCCUCGGCUCAACCGAGGAAGUGCACCCGAAACUGCAGAGCUAGAGUCUCGGAGAGGAUCGUGGAAUUCUCGGUGUAGAGGUGAAAUUCGUAGAUAUCGAGAGGAACACCGGUGGCGAAGGCGGCGAUCUGGACGAUGACUGACGCUGAGACGCGAAAGCGUGGGGAGCAAACAGG